rnacentral:tRNA from 2 species
CUCCCGUUAGCUUAACGGUAUAGCAGUCCUCUUUAUUAGGACGGAGCCUGGUUCGACUCCAGGGCGGGAGA